GAUGACAAAUUUGUUUACCUUGAUUAUCUUUGCAAAAUAUUUUAGUAAGACUCAUAAUUACAUCAGUGUUCUACCUAACCAAAUGCUAGUUUUGAAAUAUUUAAUGCCAGAUAAAAUUUCACUACUAAAAUGUUCAAACUGAGUCAUUUUUUAAAUAAAAAUGGAAACAUGAGAAUAUACUCAAAUGUUUAACUAUAUUAGCAAAUAAAAACAGAAUUGAAAUGAGUCACACUGGACUUCAAAUCUCUAGCAUUUACCAAAUUCUGUGGUGCUUGGCAAGUUGCUUAGCCUUUGCCAUCCAGUUCUUUAUCAGUAAAAAGAUUAACUUACCUUGCAGGUUAUAAGGAUGAAAUGAGCAAAGGGCCAGGCACAUAGGUAUUCAAUAAAGGGUAUACUAUUAAUAUUGCCACUUUAAUUGUCUUACUGUGGAAUUUAUCAGUUUUAUAAUCAUAGAAAUUUAUUAAUUCAUAGCUCUUUUUGGAGUUCCAGUGUUUUUUAAGUUUUUAAAGGAACUAGCAGUUUUUGUUUGUUUGUUUGUUUGUUUGUUUUUGGAGACGGAGUCUCGCACUUUUGGCCCAGGCUGGAGUGCAGUGGCAUGAUCUUGGUUCACAGGAACUAGCAGUUUUUUUAAAUACAGCAGCUUUUUCAAUUAAUAGUGGCUUAGACACCACUGUGAAUGCUUGAAAGCACUUUUGUGAGUUUUUUUCCACUACAUGAAUAUGUUAGAUAAAAACUUAUAAAACUUUUAGGGACAAAAGACAGUUAAAUUCAUUGCCUAUCCCACACGGGGUAACAACCUUGGAAGACAUAUCAGAAAUAAAGCAAUUAUCUGGAUGGAUAGUCUGGAUGAACAUGACACAUAAAAAAGGUGCUGAUAGUUCUUCUGAAACAAUCCCUUUAAUGUCCUAGUCAUUUAAAACACACAUUCAGGAGAAGCCCGAAAUAGAAAGCUUUAAUGAAAAUUACUAAGUUUUGUCCAUUACCUUGAAUUUGGUUACUAUAGUAUCUAAAUUACAUUCUGUAACAAAUGCAUAUGUACAUGUGUUAGAAUCUUGUGUGUGGAAUUUGGUGAGACUUAUUAGACUCAACUAUUAGAAGACUAAAGGACCUCUGAUAUAUCUGCAAUUAUUGUUUUUAAUUAUAAUUACAUAGAUCUAUUUACAUGGACUUUGAGGACAGAUAGUUAUGCAAUUCAAUCAUGACUGAUUUCUCAUACAAAUCAACCUUUGAGUCACAUCACCUUUUGAAAACGCCUACUAAAAACAAAACAGUUAAUGUAGCUGAACAGGAACUGACUGUGGCUCAAAGCUGUGCCAAGGCUCUAAGGCUCAUUUUAUUGAGGUAGGGAGAUCAGCCUGUAUUAUCCAUGUGAGCUCAAUGUGAUCACAAGGGUUUUGAAAAGUGGAAGAAGGAAGCAGGAAAAUUCAGAGUCGGGGCGAUGUGGCUACAGAUGAAUGGUCAGGGAGAUGCAACUACUGGCUUUGAAGAUAGGGGGAAGAAGGGUCACAAGUCAAGGAAUUGAGUGCCCUCCAGAAGCCAGAAAAGGUAAGGAAAUGGAUUCUUCCCUGGAACCUCCAGAAAGGAACACAGUCCUGCUGACACCUUGGUUUUGGCCCUGUGAGACCUGUGUCAAACUUCUAACCUAUAGAUAAUAUAUUUUUGUUGUUUUAGGGCAUUAAGCUUUUGUUGAUUUGUUAUCAAAUAAAUAGGAAACUAAUACAGGUAUAUUUGGGUUAUCUUUAAAUGUAUAGACUUGAUGAUUUGGAAUCACUGAGCUUUCUUAUCAAUCCUUUGAAUUGUUCCAAGUAGUAGAUUUAUAUUAAUAUCCCAUAUUUUAUUGCCGUAGCACUUAGUUUGAAGAUGACAGGUCAAGAUUCCAAGGUACAGUUUGUGAUCAUGGACCAAACUGGAGCUUAGUGCUCUGUAGCAAAUUAACCUUUAUGGCCUUGGACUUGUGAUGAAAUGGUAAAGCACAUAUUAGAAUGCCUGAGGUUCCCAUCCUGGUCCUUUUAUUAGCUAUGUAACUUUAUGUAAAACACUUAUCUUUAUGUUUGUUUUCUCAAAGGCAAAACACAAACAUUAACAUAAUUAUGUAUUAGGGUUGUUGUGAAGAUUAAAAGAGAUAAUGCAAGUAGAGUAAUUUACAUGGUGUUUCGCACAUACAAUACCUCUUAACCAAUUUUUACCUAGUAAAACUAGCCGAUAGGCAUACUUACUUAUCACAUGGUAGAAGACUGGCUAGGAGGCUAUUCUCUAACCAACCUUAUGCUUUUGUCCCAACAGAUGAUCAGCUGCAUGCUUACAAAAGGCUAGUGGCAGUGGUCAUUGAACCUGUUUGUUUUACUUAGGGUAAUUAUGUAAUUUAGUUAAAUAUUCAGCAGUCCAUAAACUGUGAGUGUAAAAGACUUCUGGUUUUAUUUGAAAGCUAGGUUGAAUGCAUUAGAAAUACUUUAAAAAAAAAGCUAGUUGCUCCCCUCAACCCAUCCCCAGUCAAAAAGUGGUUAAAUUGGGUAUGGGUAAAAAAACUAAAAGACUGGACAAAUGUAGAAAGCAAGGAUGAAAGCAGAAUCCAGUUUUUCCCCCACUAAAAUACUUGAAACUAAAAAUGGUAGAAAAUGCUUCAUGUACCAUGGCAAUUUGGAAAUCCAGCCAGUGGAUUCAUACUCAAAAGGCUGUGGUCCAACAUCAAUUGUUGAGUGGAUUUACAAUUACAUUUAAAAUAGAAAUUAAAGGCAUUUAUCUAUUUUUAUGAUUUAUAAGAUUUUAAACAUUACCUACUGGCUCUGGUAGUAUUAUAAAAGGGCUAUAACAAGUGCUUUAUAAGUGUUAGUUUUGUUACUAUUAGCACCAUGAGUUGGGUUCUAAACUGGGGAUGAUUUUGCUCCCAAAGGACAUUUGGUGAUAUCUGGAAACAGUUUUGGUUUUCAUAACUGAGAGUUGCGGCUGGCAUCUUGUGGACCAGAGAUGGUGCUAAACAUCCCAUAAUGUACUGAACAGCCCCCUAAACCAAAGUACCCCAUCUAAAUGUCAGUAGUGCUGAGGGUGAGAAACCCUCAUAGAAACCCCUGCAGGCUAACAAAACUUUGCUAAUUCACUAGUGGAUAAGAUGUCAGAAGUUGUGGAAGAAAUCAGAUUCAUGUCUGUUAUAUGAAACAAUAAGACACACUUUUGUCUGGAAUGUUUUUGGAACUGCUGUAGAAUAAAGUUUCAGAAAAAUUUCAUGAAGGUACUUUUAAAGUAAAUCUCAUCAAUCUGGGAAUGUUAAAACAUGUAGCUGGACAGAACUUAGAUUGUCUCCUCUUUAAACUUGUUCAUCCAUGAUUUUUCCCCAUUUCAAGCCCAAAACUUUGGCUCAUCAGAUACAGAAAAGUAUUGGCCCUUCAUAACAAGACUCACACAAAGACCUAGGUAGCCAAGGCAGUGGCAUGAACUAAAUAUCAGGCCUAGGCCUAUCUUUGAUGCUUCUUUUGCUUAGAGCCUUCAUACCAUCUGUCACCAGAUCCUGGAACCUUUUAUCUGCAAAACAUGUCCUGAAUCUUUCCCCUUCUCUCCAUCACCUUGAUUACUCUGGUCUAAUCUUCUAGAUUAUGCUAAGAGCCUCCUCUCUGGUCUCCCAUCUAGUCCUGCCCCAUGUAGUUUUUAGCACCUAGAGUGAUCUUUUAAAAAUGAAAUAUCACAUCAUGCCAUUCUAAUUUAAAUGGCUUCCCUGAGAAUAAAAUUUGACCUCCUUAUGAUGGCCUUCAUAUAGCUAUAUAUGAUUUGAUCCCUCUACCCCCACAUCCUGUCUCAUCUCAUACCAAUCCACCCUUCAUUCAUGCUUCAUCCUUGUGGCCUUCUUUCAGUCUUUGAAUAAAUAUGAUAGUAAGUUAGAUGGGGACCUGAAUUUGGCCAGGCUGUAACAAAAACAUUUGGACAUAAAAUUAAAUUUAGAAAGAGGAAUUACCAUUUUUAAACAAGGCUUGAAACUGAGCUAGUUAAAAUAGUCACAGUGCAGACAAAUUGAUGUAGAAGUUAAUUGUUCAGUUCUAUACCAAACUAGUUCGGGUAUCAAGUAAACCAAGAAUAGGUUUCCUCAAAGUAAAAGAUAAAAGAGAUUGAAGAUUCAGGGUUAAAUACAUAUAGAUUUCACUAGUGAUACUGACUUUACAUAUGCAUUAUAAAUAAUCUGCCUAGGGAUGAUGCAUCAUUAGAGUCAUGAGUUGCCACUUACUCGCUGCUUCUGCCAGUGAAGAAAACAAUAGCAGCUUUUUUUUCUUAGUACUGAAUUCUUUUUAAUUGCCCUGUAGUCCAAAAGUGUGUUUGGUAUGAAUAGCAGCUUUUUUUCUAGCAAAUAAGAAAUAAAUGAAUCUUAUUUUUUAUUCUUCUUUUCCCUGUACCAGUUCCCAAGAAAUCUCAACAAAAUACAACAGGAUAAAAUAUUUUAAAAAGCCAGAUUUGCCUGAGAACUCUUUCUGAUUAUUUCCAAGCCCUGGGCAAAGGAACUAAUAUUUAUUAUUAAGGUUAGAUUAAAAGCUGUUAAAAUGUAGUUAUAAAAAAAGAAGUCUUUAAUAGCUAGAGUAAAAUUUUAUAAGUAAAAAAUUAUAAAAUUUAAAAAAAUUAUAAAAAUUAACUAUUACUCCAUUUUUAUGAAAUCUACUAAAAUGCUAUGUUGCUUUUUUCCAGUCUCUGAAAUAAAAAUCUUUCCCCUCCUGUACAUAUAAUCUUCAAAAAUCUCAAUGAUUAAGCCAUAAAGGAAAAAUGCCUGGUAACUUAAAAUGUCAGAUAUGAAAUCUACUUUUAUCAUUUAUAUUUCAGGGAUCUGGCUGCUUUAACAUACUAAUGGGGCAAGGGAGACAGCUCCCAGAGAGAGCUGCUUAAUAGAGGGAUGUUAAGUGAAAACAUAAGGAUUUUCCAUCUGUUAGGAAACAGUGUGUGGUAUCUAGUUCUUAUGGUUAGACUUGGAGAAAUACAUUAAUUGAAUGACACAGGAAAUACAGGAAACCACAUUUUGCUUGAAGAGCAAUUUUUGAGGACAAUAACGAGUAAUGAAAAAAUGUGUAAGGAUGCUGGCUGCUUCAGAAGCAAGAAAACAACUAAAAGGCUACUACUAUAUUAUAUAUGCUAGAAAUGGGUAAGUUAAUACUUAAAUCAUUUAACUAUUAAUCAGCAUGAACAUUUCUGAAAGAACUUCAAAAGUGAAGAUGAAUAAGAUAGGAAGAUUUAAGAUCCUGUCCCCAAAGUGUGGUAAAUAGGAAAGUUUACAGAUACUAUAUUCAAGUUGUUUUUAAAAGUUUCUGUGAAUUGUAUUACAAGCUAUGCCAAUGGAAGAUAUUUCCAAAUGCCAAAUUCUUUUUGGUUCAUUGGCAAAUAUUUCCAAAACAGAAAUACGUUUUAGCACAGUGAAGCAGCUGAUUACUAUGAUAGUUUCUUUUUUUCUUUUUUGUUUUUUUGCAGGUGGGUGGGUAAGGAGUAAGGGUAAGGGUGGUAAUACAAAUGUUAUAGAGUCCCCUAACAUUUUCACUACAUUCUAAGCCUAUAGGAGUUCUCUUAAAGACUUCCAUGGCUUCCAUGGUACUAUCACUGGUAUGAAAAGUACCCACAGAUGUGUUCUACACUUUCCUCUAUGUUUUCAAUUAGAUGCAAUAAGGAGAAAAUUGCAACAACCAAAGGUUUUUUUUUUUCUAACAUCUGUGUGUAUAUACCUUGUCAAAACCACUAGAGUACACCAGAACAUGGUAUAACAAACAGACCUUUUACUUAAGAUGUCAAAUCUCAUGAUAACCAAAAAAUUCUAAAACAAACAUACAACUAGCUCAAACUUACUGUUAUUGAAAUUUCAAGUGUAAUGUUUUUAUUUUCCAACUGCUUCACGAUUUUGGCAGUCUUCUUUUUAAUCAUAAAAUAUGUUUAAUAACUGAAUUUUGAUGACACUAAUAUUUUAUGAUUUUUAUUUAAGAGGUUGUUUUGCUUUUAUAAUAAUAAUUGCUACCACUUGUUGAGUUCUAUGUGCCAAGCACUAUCGUAAGCAUUUUUCAUAAACUGAUUUAAAUCCCUCCCACCACACACCUUGUGAAUUAAGUACUAUUAGGUACAUUUACACAUGAAUGGGUGCUUGGCAAGGUUAAGAAACUUGCACAAGGUCACACAGCCAAUAAAUGGGGGAUCCAGAAUUCCAGCCCAGGUCUGUUGGGCUCUAAAGCCUUUGCACAGUCUUAGCUGUUAUGUUGUAUUAUAUUGCCUCCUAGGUUAUGUAUGUAGAAUUUUUGGUCACAUUUAAAUAUUCCCCUUCGAUUCAUAGUGUUAAGAAAUAUACUUAAGCAGCUACGUAUUUACUAGGGAUGAAAAUGUUUCCAAUUCAUAAGCCAGAACACUUUUUUCUUCAGAUAUUUAACACAAAGAAGGGAUGAAGACCAUUUUUUAUUCCCAUCUCCCAUGGUUUCAUAUUUUUAUAAACAUUUCUAGAAUGCUACACAAUAGCAGAUAAUAUUCUGCAACUUUAAUUGAAGGUCAAACAUUUCUUAUAUAUUCUGAUGGUGAGAUGAUAGUGCCUGCGCUAAAACAAUCAGAUGACUCCACUGAGGGAAAGAGCAUUGCAUUAGCAACUCUGGGAGAAAUGUGUUAGUGAAUUAUUUCAUGAAUGCAGUGAGAAUAAAAUGAUUGUCUUAGAGGCCAUAAAUAAAUCCAUUUAAGUUAAAACCCAAGUCUAGGAAUUGAUAUCCACUUUGGCCAAAUUUAACUUUGGGUAAUCUAGCUUAAAAAAAAAAAAUCCAACUUUUCCCUAUAGUAUUUUAAAUAGUCAUUCUAUAUAUUACUCUUUAUUGGGUCUAACUUGGUUGAUAUUAUCUAUGCAGAUAAACUACAACUGUACCCAAAGCCUUUCUGAAUGAAGAUUUAUCAUCCUGAGGAGAAAAACCAAAGGCCACUAGGAAAUGAGGGUGUACAACACCCUUCCAGAGCCAACUUCAACAAACUCAAAUUUAUGUACAUCCUAAUCUAAAAUUUUUCUUUUCCUACAUAUAAAGGAAAUUAAAUAAAAAACCUGUCCGUUUCAGUUACA
rnacentral:lncRNA from 1 species